CCUACGGGAGGCAGCAGUAGGGAAUCUUCGGCAAUGGGCGAAAGCCUGACGGAGCAAUGCCGCGUGAGUGAUGACGGCCUUCGGAUUGUAAAACUCUGUUAUUAGGGAAGAACAAAUGUUUAAGUAAAUAUGUACGUCUUGACGGUACUUAAACAGAAAGCCACGGCUAACUACGUGCCAGCAGCCGCGGUAAUACGUAGGGUGCGAGCGUUAAACGGAAUUAUUGGGCGUAAAGCGUGCGUAGGCGGUUUUUUAAGUCUGAUGUGAAAGCCCACGGCUCAACCGUGGAGGGUCAUUUGUGACUGGAAGACUUGAGUGCGGACGAGGCAGGUGGAAUUCCAUGUGUAGCGGUGAAAUGCGCAGAUAUAUGGAAGAACACCGAUGGCGAAGGCAGCUUUCUGGUCUGUAACUGACGCUGAUGUACGAAAGCGUGGGGAUCAAACAGGAUUAGAUACCCGAGUAGUC
rnacentral:rRNA from 1 species